UGGGGAAUAUUGCACAAUGGGCGCAAGCCUGAUGCAGCCAUGCCGCGUGUGUGAAGAAGGCCUUCGGGUUGUAAAGCACUUUCAGCGGGGAGGAAGGCGUUAAGGUUAAUAACCUUGGCGAUUGACGUUACCCGCAGAAGAAGCACCGGCUAACUCCGUGCCAUCAGCCGCGGUAAUACGGAGGGUGCAAGCGUUAAUCGGAAUUACUGGGCGUAAAGCGCACGCAGGCGGUCUGUCAAGUCGGAUGUGAAAUCCCCGGGCUCAACCUGGGAACUGCAUUCGAAACUGGCAGGCUAGAGUCUUGUAGAGGGGGGUAGAAUUCCAGGUGUAGCGGUGAAAUGCGUAGAGAUCUGGAGGAAUACCGGUGGCGAAGGCGGCCCCCUGGACAAAGACUGACGCUCAGGUGCGAAAGCGUGGGGAGCAAACAGG
rnacentral:rRNA from 1 species